GACGAACGCUGGCGGCGUGCUUAACACAUGCAAGUCGAACGGAAAGGCCCUGCUUUUGUGGGGUGCUCGAGUGGCGAACGGGUGAGUAACACGUGAGUAACCUGCCCUUGACUUUGGGAUAACUUCAGGAAACUGGGGCUAAUACCGGAUAGGAGCUCCUGCUGCAUGGUGGGGGUUGGAAAGUUUCGGCGGUUGGGGAUGGACUCGCGGCUUAUCAGCUUGUUGGUGGGGUAGUGGCUUACCAAGGCGUUGACGGGUAGCCGGCCUGAGAGGGUGACCGGCCACAUUGGGACUGAGAUACGGCCCAGACUCCUACUGGAGGCAGCAGUGGGGAAUAUUGCACAAUGGGCGGAAGCCUGGUGCAGCAACGCCGCGUGCGGGAUGACGGCCUUCGGGUUGUAAACCGCUUUCGCCUGUGACGAAGCGUGAGUGACGGUAAUGGGUAAAGAAGCACCGGCUAACUACGUG
rnacentral:rRNA from 1 species